rnacentral:rRNA from 1 species
UACGUGUGAGGCAAGCGUUAUUCGUCUUUAAUGGGUCUAAAGGGUACGUAGGCGGUAUAUGUAAUCAUAUUAUUAAUCACAUGUGUGUGGAUUUGAUAUUUAUAUACUAGAGUUUGAAGGGAGUAACAGACACAACAAGAGUAGUGUAGUAAUACUAGUAUACUUGAGGGGUCUCAUAGCGGCGAAGGCGUGUUACUAUGUAAGACUGACGCUGAGGAGCGAAAGCGUGGGGAGCGAACAGG